rnacentral:rRNA from 1 species
CUACCUAUGGAUGAAAAGAACGACUCUCGGCAACGGAUAUCUCGGCUCUCGCAUCGAUGAAGAACGUAGCGAAAUGCGAUACCUGGUGUGAAUUGCAGAAUCCCGCGAACCAUCGAGUCUUUGAACGCAAGUUGCGCCCGAGGCCAUCCGGCCGAGGGCACGCCU